rnacentral:rRNA from 1 species
UACAGAGGGUGCGAGCGUUGUUCGGAAUUAUUGGGCGUAAAGAGCGUGUAGGCGGCCAGACAGGUCCGUUGUGAAAACUCGAGGCUCAACCUCGAGACGCCGAUGGAAACCGUCUGGCUAGAGUCCGGAAGAGGAGAGUGGAAUUCCUGGUGUAGCGGUGAAAUGCGCAGAUAUCAGGAAGAACACCCGUGGCUAAGGCGGCUCUCUAGUACGGUACUGACGCUGAGACGCGAAAGCGUGGGGAGCGAACAGG